rnacentral:rRNA from 1 species
CACGUAGGGCGCAAGCGUUGUCCGGAUUUACUGGGCGUAAAGAGCGCGCAGGCGGUCGUUCAAGUCGAGUGUGAAAGCCCCCGGCUCAACUGGGGAGGGUCACUUGAUACUGAUCGACUCGAAGGCAGGAGAGGGAAGCGGAAUUCCCGGUGUAGUGGUGAAAUGCGUAGAUAUCGGGAGGAACACCAGUGGCGAAGGCGGCUCACUGGUCCAUUACUGACGCUGAGGUGCGAAAGCGUGGGGGAGCAAACAGGG